ACGGAAGGCAGCAGUGAGGAAUAUUGGUCAAUGGGCGAGAGCUUGAACCAGCCAAGUCGCGUGCGGGACGAAGGCCCUACGGGUCGUAAACCGCUUUUAUACGGGAAUAAAGUGCGCCACGCGUGGCGUUUUGCAGGUACCGUAGGAAUAAGGAUCGGCUAACUCCGUGCCAGCAGCCGCGGUAAUACGGAGGAUCCGAGCGUUAUCCGGAUUUAUUGGGUUUAAAGGGUGCGCAGGCGGCACGUUAAGUCAGCGGUGAAAUGCAGGGGCUCAACCCCGGCACUGCCGUUGAAACUGGCGAGCUCGAGUACGGAUGAAGUCGGCGGAAUGUGAUGUGUAGCGGUGAAAUGCUUAGAUAUGUCACAGAACACCGAUUGCGAAGGCAGCUGACUAAUCCGCAACUGACGCUCAGGCACGAAAGCGUGGGGAUCGAACAGGAUUAGAUACCCUGGUA
rnacentral:rRNA from 1 species